rnacentral:rRNA from 1 species
UGGGGAAUAUUGGACAAUGGGCGAAAGCCUGAUCCAGCCAUGCCGCGUGUGUGAAGAAGGUCUUCGGAUUGUAAAGCACUUUAAGUUGGGAGGAAGGGUUGUAGAUUAAUACUCUGCAAUUUUGACGUUACCGACAGAAUAAGCACCGGCUAACUCUGUGCCAGCAGCCGCGGUAAUACAGAGGGUGCAAGCGUUAAUCGGAAUUACUGGGCGUAAAGCGCGCGUAGGUGGUUAGUUAAGUUGGAUGUGAAAUCCCCGGGCUCAACCUGGGAACUGCAUUCAAAACUGACUGACUAGAGUAUGGUAGAGGGUGGUGGAAUUUCCUGUGUAGCGGUGAAAUGCGUAGAUAUAGGAAGGAACACCAGUGGCGAAGGCGACCACCUGGACUGAUACUGACACUGAGAUGCGAAAGCGUGGGGAGCAAACAGGAUUAGA